rnacentral:rRNA from 1 species
AGACGUCUACAUUAGAUACCCGCGUAGUCCCAGCCGUAAACUAUGCGCGUUAGGUGUAUCGGUGACCACGAGUUACCGAGGUGCCGAAGGGAAACCGUGAAACGUGCCGCCUGGGAAGUACGGUCGCAAGGCUGAAACUUAAAGGAAUUGGCGGGGAGCACCACAACGGGUGGAGCCUGCGGUUUAAUUGGACACAACGCCGGGAAGCUCACCGGAUAGGACAGCAGAAUGAUUGCCGGGCUGAAGACCCUGCAUGACUAGCUG